rnacentral:rRNA from 1 species
AUUGAACGCUGGCGGCAGGCCUAACACAUGCAAGUCGAGCGGAUGAGAGGAGCUUGCUUCUCGAUUCAGCGGCGGACGGGUGAGUAAUGCCUAGGAAUCUGCCUGGUAGUGGGGGACAACGUUUCGAAAGGAACGCUAAUACCGCAUACGUCCUACGGGAGAAAGCAGGGGACCUUCGGGCCUUGCGCUAUCAGAUGAGCCUAGGUCGGAUUAGCUAGUUGGUGGGGUAGUGGCUCACCAAGGCGACGAUCCGUAACUGGUCUGAGAGGAUGAUCGGUCACACUGGAACUGAGACACGGUCCAGACUCCUACGGGAGGCAGCAGUGGGGAAUAUUGGACAAUGGGCGAAAGCCUGAUCCAGCCAUGCCGCGUGUGUGAAGAAGGUCUUCGGAUUGUAAAGCACUUUAAGUUGGGAGGAAGGGUUGUAGAUUAAUACUCUGCAAUUUUGACGUUACCGACAGAAUAAGCACCGGCUAACUCUGUGCCAGCCGCCGCUGUAAUAC